UCCUUUAAGCGUGGAAAGAUACAGAACAUAUCCAUAUCUUAGAAUUCAAAAAAAUACUCAUGGAUUUACCAUGGUACCAUCUCAAUACCAUGGUACUAUUGCCUGUUUUAAUGAUUAAUGCUCUAUAUUGCUUUUCAAUUGUAGCAGUACUCGGAAAUAUUAAUGAAGAAAGCCUUUGGGGAUUUUCCUCAAGAAAUUUGACACAAGCUGAUGAUAAAGCCUGCGGCACGCAGCGAGGAAAGCCCUGCUGGAAGAGAAGUCUCGUGACGGAGGGUGAAACUGAACCUCUGUGAAACCAAAAGUCUUUCCUGAAACACCUGUUUGUGUAAUGACAUCAUCCCCGGUGGGAAGACGGGCGAACUGUUCACCUGCUUUCUAGAGAUUAUUCGAUACAUCUGACAAUUUCAGGGCCUGACUUAACAAUUACUUUCUGUUGGGUUCAUUAAAGUGCAGGAUAGUAAAAAACAAAUAAAUCUCAAAGCAACCUCGUUUUAUAGCAUUGAGUCAAAAUCAUUCACAAUGAUUUUCUGUGGUAAUAGACGGUGUACAGCUGAUUCAAGUUUAACUUAAAUUUAAGCAUGUUUACUUUUCUAAUGCACAUUUAUGAUGAAACUCCAAAUAUAUAUAUUUUCUAAUUUCUUGGUUGAAAAUGUCAUACUUGUUCCACUGAAACGCAACAAUUUGCAACAUAAUGUUUAUCUGACAUCAGCAAUACUAAUACAUGAUAUACUAAUAAAAGAUAUAUUAAUAAAGAAA